rnacentral:rRNA from 1 species
UACGUAGGUCCCGAGCGUUGUCCGGAUUUAUUGGGCGUAAAGCGAGCGCAGGUGGUUUAUUAAGUCUGGUGUAAAAGGCAGUGGCUCAACCAUUGUAUGCAUUGGAAACUGGUAGACUUGAGUGCAGGAGAGGAGAGUGGAUUUCCAUGUGUAGCGGUGAAAUGCGUAGAUAUAUGGAGGAACACCGGUGGCGAAAGCGGCUCUCUGGCCUGUAACUGACACUGAGGCUCGAAAGUGUGGGGAGCAAACAGG